rnacentral:snRNA from 1 species
GUGCUCAUUUCAGCAGCGCAUAUACUAAAAUUGGAACAAUGCGGAAAUUAGCAUGGCCCUUGCACAAGGUUGACAAGCAGAUUUGUGAAUUAUUCCAUAUUUAA